UACGGAGGGUGCGAGCGUUGUCCGGAAUCACUGGGCGUAAAGGGCGCGUAGGCGGCUCAUGAAGGCUGUGGUGGAAGUCCGGGGCUCAACCUCGGAUCGGCCGUGGCGACUCGUGGGCUGGAGCACUGUAGAGGCGGGUGGAAUUCCGGGUGUAGCGGUGGAAUGCGUAGAGAUCCGGAAGAACACCAGUGGCGAAGGCGGCCCGCUGGGCAGUGGCUGACGCUGAAGCGCGACAGCGUGGGGAGCAAACAGG
rnacentral:rRNA from 1 species